CCCGCCAGAGCACUACGAGCCACAGCUUAAAACUCAAAGGACUUGGCGGUACCCUACACCCACCUAGAGGAGCCUGUUCUAUAAUUGAUAACCCCCAAUAAACCUCACCGCCUCUUGUAAUACAGCCUAUAUACCACCGUCACAAGCCCACCUUGUCAAGGAAUAAUAGUAGGCUAAAUAAUUUAAAAUAAAAAAGUCAGGUCAAGGUGUAGCAUAUGAGCCGGAAAGAAAUGGGCUACAUUUUCUUUAAAGAAAAUACGGAAUAUUUCAUGAAAUAAGAUACUAAGGAGGAUUUAGCAGUAAAAAGAAAAUAGAGAGUUCUUUUAAAAUAGGCAAUAAGGUGAGCACACACCGCCCGUCACCCUCUUCAUAUAAAAUAAUAAAUAAAUAAUAUUACUAGAACUUCAGAAGAGGAAAGUCGUAACAUGGUAAGUCUACCGGAAGGUGGCCUUGGAA
rnacentral:rRNA from 1 species